rnacentral:lncRNA from 1 species
AAAACCGAAUUUCAAUCACAAACCCAACAAAUUAGAAUACAGAAUUUCGCCUAAUAUCCAAGAAAACAAACCCUAGGUUUGUGGAGGCUAGAGAUUGCAACCUGAGUACACAAGGACAAGCAUCCGAAGUAGAAUCUAGAAAACAAAUAGAUCGAUCUCAAGGUUCAAGAAAGAACGAUUGAUUCGAGAGAGACUAAGAAGGGGAGAGAAGAUCCACCCUAUUUUUGGUUGAUACUUGAAGCCAUCCUUAUGACCGUCACAUUGCCCACGGCCGCCAUGUUAUUGAAUGUUGAUGGCAUUGACUCGACAAUCCGAUCUUCAAACACUUCAGAUGAAGAUGUGUUGAUGGGUGCCAAUAGUGCUUAACAUUUUUCCAUAGUGAGGAAGGAAAAAAAAAAAAAAAAAAGGAAAGAAUGAAUUUUGGAGAAGAGGAAAGAAAAGAGAAGAGAUGUUGAAAGAAAGAGGAAGAAUUAGGGCUUGGAUGGCUACUGCUAGGCCGGCUAACAAGCACCGAGCAAUGCCAUCCAUUUGAUAUCAAAUUGGCAUGAAAAUAGGCCCAAAUGAUGAGCUCAAAAC